AUGUGUGGAUUUCAAGCUAAGGGGAAGGGUUUCUUCUAUAUACAUGACGCUAGUAGACCCAAGCAAAACACUGAUAGGAACAGAUAUAUUGUGAUCUCUAUGAUAGAAGGGCAAGCUAGUGGCAGGCAGUUGGAGGAGUUCUUUAAUGCAUACAUUAACACAAAUUGGAAGUGUUCUGCUAGAUCGAUUGGGCUGAAUACCUUUGUCAUGAGAUUUCCUUCACCUAGAGACGUUGACAAAGCUUGCUUUGCUGAAACUAUGAACAUUAAAAGUUGUGGGGCUAUGGUGAGUCUUAAAAAAUGGUCUGAAUCUGUGGGUGCCAAGGGUGUACUUUGA
rnacentral:rRNA from 1 species